UUUUCUCUUUCUCUCUUGUGGAACACUGGAAACCCGGUGAAGGAAAUCCACUUUUGCUUGCUGAGCCAGUGACAGAAGCAAAUGCAGGAUACACAUUGUUCAUGGAUAGUGAAGCAGAAGUAAUAGGAUGAGAAACUAAUACAGAGAUCACACACAAUCUAGACAAUUUAAGAAACAAGAAAACACACAUGCACCACUACUAUUCAGAGACCAAACCAAAACAGACAAGCUCAAGCAAGCAGGAGACUUUAAUCAGUGUCUAUGAAGAAAGCUUCCUGUAGACUUGUAACAGCUGUGGAUAUUUAAGUCAGGAGAAGACUGGCUGCAAAGUAGAAAAGAUAUUAUAAGUACACAAGAAGGGGAAACAGUGGGAGAUAAACAGAUAAGAGUAUGCCUGACAAAACAAGAAAUGAAUUGGGAGGGGGAAUGAGAGAGAGAGGAGGAAGAAAAUGAAAGACACUCAGAUCAAGAAGAACACAUCGCAACAGCUUUGACAGCAAUAUACAGGAUGCAUACCAUUUUUAAAAUAGAAGAACACCUACUGGACCACUUAUUUAUACAUACAAGAAGAACGGCCUUACCAGAAAUCCUUCUCUCUUUACGUUUGGUUACUGAACAAUAUAGAGACAUGGAUUCUAAUCAAGUUGAAUAACCUCAGCAACUAUAUAUGUCCUAAACAGGACAAAUGAUUCUUUAAUUUGCUCAUUGCUGUGAUUCUAUAUAUUCACUGUUCCAAAAAUAUAUUUUGUUUCUAAAUCAUUCA